GGGAUGUCUCUUUAAGCACUAAAUAUAUCGAGGCUUAGCUCAGUGCUAAGCCUUUU
rnacentral:ncRNA from 1 species